GACAGAGGAUGCAAGCGUUAUCCGGAAUGAUUGGGCGUAAAGCGUCUGUAGGUGGCUUUUUAAGUCCGCCGUCAAAUCCCAGGGCUCAACCCUGGACAGGCGGUGGAAACUACCAAGCUGGAGUACGGUAGGGGCAGAGGGAAUUUCCGGUGGAGCGGUGAAAUGCGUAGAGAUCGGAAAGAACACCAAUGGCGAAAGCACUUUACUGGCUAGUUACUGACACUGAGAGACGAAAGCUAG
rnacentral:rRNA from 1 species